CCACAACCACAAGCAUGCAUAGCUUCAAUUUGCGCUGUCACUCCGUCAGUCAAUGUCUGGUAACUGCAACAAUGGCAAACUAACCGGAUGUCCAGUGUGACUGGAUGCAGCAUCGAACAGGUAACCCAAAGCACGAGCAGUUUCAGUGAGUUUCUUUGCCCUGAUGCCCUAAUGAACAUGUCACGUUAUUAGCUUUUUUUUGCCAAAGGUUCAUGUAUUCAGGCAGGCU
rnacentral:lncRNA from 1 species